CGUAUGCAACCUACCCUGUACUGGGGAUAGCCCGGAGAAAUCCAGAUUAAGCCCCCAUAGUAUAUACCAUUGCAUGUUUGGUAUAUUAAAGGUUACGGUACGGGAUGGGCAUGCGUCCGGUAUCUANAUNNUAANGUAACGGCUUACCAUGGCAACGAUAGGUAGGGGGCUGAGAGGGUGAUCCCCCACACUGGUACUGAGACACGGACCAGACUCCUCGGGAGGCAGCAGUGAGGAAUAUUGGACAAUGGGCGGAAGCCUGAUCCACCAUGCCGCGUGCAGGAAGACUGCCCUAUGGGUUGUAAACUGCUUUUAUUGGGAAUAAACCCCCGCUCGUGAGCGGGGCUGAAUGUACCAAACGAAUAGCACCGGCUAACUCCGUGCCAGCAGNCGCGGUAAU
rnacentral:rRNA from 1 species